CAGAAUCAUCCAAACACAUGUGUUGGAAGUAAUCUUUGACAUGAAUUCGUAGAAAUGACAUGCGUCGCAAUCUGACGUGCUAGCCCUCCAGAUGUCCACAUCUGUAUUCUUACUUCCUGUGUCAAAUUUUGUUUUUUUGCCUGUGUAGCAUCAGUGUGAACAGUUGCAAGUUGUUCCAAGUACCUGUUGCUCUAGAUGCUGUCAGUUUCAUGUGCUCCUCUUUGUCUUCCCUUCUGGAUUUUAUUUCGUUCUCAUAGAUACCGCAGAACAUCACGCAUGGAUCAUCGCGCAACAUCAUCCCGUUUGGAAGUUUA
rnacentral:lncRNA from 1 species